GACGAACGCUGGCGGCGUGCCUAAUACAUGCAAGUGGGACGCAAGGAAACACACUGUGCUUGCACACCGUGUUUUCUUGAGUCGCGAACGGGUGAGUAACGCGUAGGUAACCUGCCUAUUAGCGGGGGAUAACUAUUGGAAACGAUAGCUAAUACCGCAUAAUAUUAAUUAUUGCAUGAUAAUUGAUUGAAAGAUGCAAGCGCAUCACUAGUAGAUGGACCUGCGUUGUAUUAGCUAGUUGGUAAGGUAAGAGCUUACCAAGGCGACGAUACAUAGCCGACCUGAGAGGGUGAUCGGCCACACUGGGACUGAGACACGGCCCAGACUCCUACGGGAGGCAGCAGUAGGGAAUCUUCGGCAAUGGACGAAAGUCUGACCGAGCAACGCCGCGUGAGUGAAGAAGGUUUUCGGAUCGUAAAGCUCUGUUGUAAGUCAAGAACGUGUGUGAGAGUGGAAAGUUCACACAGUGACGGUAGCUUACCAGAAAGGGGCGGCUAACUACGUG
rnacentral:rRNA from 1 species